AUUGAACGCUGGCGGAAUGCUUUACACAUGCAAGUCGAACGGCAGCACGGACUUCGGUCUGGUGGCGAGUGGCGAACGGGUGAGUAAUGUAUCGGAACGUGCCCAGUCGUGGGGGAUAACGUAGUGAAAAUUACGCUAAUACCGCAUACGAUCUAUGGAUGAAAGCGGGGGAUAGCAAGACCUCGCGCGAUUGGAGCGGCCGAUAUCAGAUUAGGUAGUUGGUGGGGUAAAGGCCCACCAAGCCAACGAUCUGUAGCUGGUCUGAGAGGACGGCCAGCCACACUUGACAUGAGACACGGUCCAGACUCCUACGGGAGGCAGCAGUGGGGAAUUUUGGACAAUGGGCGAAAGCCUGAUCCAGCCAUUCCGCGUGCAGGAUGAAGGCCCUCGGGUUGUAAACUGCUUUUGUACAGAACGAAAAGGUUUCUACUAAUACUAGGAGCUCAUGACGGUACUGUAAGAAUAAGCACCGGCUAACUACGUGCCAGCCGCCGCGGUAA
rnacentral:rRNA from 1 species